rnacentral:rRNA from 1 species
GCUCCAAUAGCGUAUAUUAAAGUUGUUGCGGUUAAAAAGCUCGUAGUUGGAUUUCUGCCGAGGACGAGCUCCUGGGCUUUAUUGUCCGGGACUCGGAGUCGGCGAGGUUACUUUGAGUAAAUUAGAGUGUUCAAAGCAGGCCACCGCUCUGAAUACAUUAGCAUGGAAUAACACGAUAGGACUCUGGCCUAUCUUGUUGG